CCGAGUUUACAACUCCCAAACCCAAUGUGAACAGUACCAACUUGUUGCCUCGGCGGAUCAGCCCGCUCCCGGUAAAACGGGACGGCCCGCCAGAGGACCCCUAAACUCUGUUUCUAUAUGUAACUUCUGAGUAAAACCAUAAAUAAAUCA
rnacentral:misc_RNA from 1 species